rnacentral:lncRNA from 1 species
UAAAGAUGCAUGAUGGAGGCCAGGAAUGCUGGCGUCCUCUGGAAGGCAAGAAAACGGGAAAGGGUCUUAGGAGAGUUGGACACAUUCAAAACACAAUAUGUGAUUAAGAAGAUUAAAGAUUAAUACUUAUUGAUGGAUUACUAUGUGCCAAACUUCCAACCGAAUCCUGACAACAAUUCCUUAAGAUGUGGAAACUGCAGUUCACUGAGGUUGACAUUUCCGGGUUCAUACAACAAGGAUGGGCAUGAUUGUGAGGCCUCCCCACCCACAUGGAAUGAGUUCCCCAGCUAUCCCCCAGUGGCUUGGAGAUUCCCAUUUCAAGAGUGUAGAGUUCUACCCAGAAGGUGGCUGCGUGGACAGUGACUACAUUCUCAGCUCCAUGCCUAUUUGGAUGGUCUGAGGCCUUCACUCCUCACCCUUCCUGGAUGUGGUUGCGCCAGAGGGGAUGAUUUAGUGAGCAGAUGGUACCAGGAAAACCAAGGGUAUUGCAUCCAGCUGUGUGUACACAGAUUGGUGAAUUCAAGCCUCUGAUCUAGGAUCUGAAAUAAAAAUCAGAAUAAGCGAAAA